ACGGGGCCCGCACAAGCGGUGGAGUAUGUGGUUAAUUCGAUGCAACGCGAAGAACCUUACCUGGUCUUGACAUCCCGGAGACCCUUAGGAAACUAGGGGGUGCUUCCAUCUGGAAGAAUCUGGAGACAGGUGCUGCAUGGCUGUCGUCAGCUCGUGUCGUGAGAUGUUGGGUUAAGUCCCGCAACGAGCGCAACCCUUGCCUUUAGUUGCCAGCAGUUCGGCUGGGCACUCUAAAGGGACUGCCGGUGUUAAACCGGAGGAAGGUGGGGAUGACGUCAAGUCCUCAUGGCCUUUAUGACCAGGGCUACACACGUACUACAAUGGCCGAUACAAAGGGCAGCGACACUGCGAGGUGAAGCCAAUCCCGUAAAAUCGGUCUCAGUCCGGAUUGGAGUCUGCAACUCGACUCCAUGAAGUUGGAAUCGCUAGUAAUCGUGGAUCAGCAUGCCACGGUGAAUACGUUCCCGGGCCUU
rnacentral:rRNA from 1 species